GGAAGUGGCCAAGCCAGGGUCACUCACUUAAGUAGGUGGGGAACAGUGGGACUGGAGAAAGAGGAGGAGAAAUCCAGACGCUCAGACACAACACCUUUCGUUCUGAGCCCACCUCCCUGAGGAGAGCAGGAGUCAAUAACUCACGGUGUGACGGCAGGAGGUUGGUGCCAGCCUCACCCGACCAUAGAGGCUGACCACUAGUCAUCCCAUCCCUUCUGAUCCGGAUCCUGAACCCCUCUACCGCCUACAGGAUGAUUUUGUUAUCCACCCACAGCUCUGCCUGCUAAUGCAGAACUGGCCUGUGGGCACAGAACCAGGCCAGGAAGCCCCGAAGGAGACCAGGACAGAAUCCCAGUGACCCCCCCUUCAAGCUGCAUGAUCUUGGGCAAGUUACUCACCUCCCUGUCUCAACUGUAUCUUUUGUGAAAUCUGGGUAAUAAUAGUUAAUAUGAAAGCCACAGGACUAUGUUGAAAAUGUGAUGAGAUUAGAUGAGACACUGAAAAGAGUACAUGUGGGACUCGUGCAUGUGGGAACACAGAUGCUGCGACAGGGGACAGGCACCCAGCAGCAGGCAGAAAGAUCUCACCUCCCCAGGAGACACCGGCCUUCAGCCUCCCGAGAGCUGAGGCCACGCAGGAAGAAACACAGUCCCCUAAGUCGAGUUUCAGGGUUCUUUCUCCACGUUUCCUGGAUCCUCUGUGUCACGGGACUAAGAGAAGCCUGGGCAGAAUCCUGGCUUCCUUCUGGAAUCGGAGAACCUCAGCGCUGUAAAAGACCUUGGCAAUUCAUUGGCCCAGGAACCUCCUUUUAGAAAUGGAGGAAAUGGAAUAUUACGGGAGGCUGAGAAGCUGUGGGGAAGGAGAAAGAGCACAGAGUCAGAAGUUCUAGAACUAUGCCAUCCAGUACAGCAGCCACUAGUCAUAAGUGCCUAGUUAGCGCUAGAAACAUGACAAGUCCAAACUGAGAAGUGCUGUAGCAUAAAAUACACCCCAGAUUUCAGAGACUUAAUAUGAAUAAAGAAUGUUAAAUUACUCAAUAAUUUUUAUAUUGAUUGCAUGUUAAAAUGAUUAUAUUUUGGAUAUAUUGGGUUAAAAAUAUAUUAUUAAAAUUAACAUUACCUGUU